GACGAACGCUGGCGGCGUGCUUAACACAUGCAAGUCGAACGGAAAGGCCCUGCUUUUGUGGGGUGCUCGAGUGGCGAACGGGUGAGUAACACGUGAGUAACCUGCCCUUGACUUUGGGAUAACUUCAGGAAACUGGGGCUAAUACCGGAUAGGAGCUCCUGCUGCAUGGUGGGGGUUGGAAAGUUUCGGCGGUCGGGGAUGGACUCGCGGCUUAUCAGCUUGUUGGUGGGGUAGUGGCUUACCAAGGCUUUGACGGGUAGCCGGCCUGAGAGGGUGACCGGCCACAUUGGGACUGAGAUACGGCCCAGACUCCUACGGGAGGCAGCAGUGGGGAAUAUUGCACAAUGGGCGGAAGCCUGAUGCAGCAACGCCGCGUGCGGGAUGACGGCCUUCGGGUUGUAAACCGCUUUCGCCUGUGACGAAGUGUGAGUGACGGUAAUGGGUAAAGAAGCACCGGCUAACUACGUGCCAGCAGCCGCGGUGAUACGUAGGGUGCGAGCGUUGUCCGGAUUUAUUGGGCGUAAAGGGCUCGUAGGUGGUUGAUCGCGUCGGAAGUGUAAUCUUGGGGCUUAACCCUGAGCGUGCUUUCGAUACGGGUUGACUUGAGGAAGGUAGGGGAGAAUGGAAUUCCUGGUGGAGCGGUGGAAUGCGCAGAUAUCAGGAGGAACACCAGUGGCGAAGGCGGUUCUCUGGGCCUUUCCUGACGCUGAGGAGCGAAAGCGUGGGGAGCGAACAGGCUUAGAUACCCUGGUAGUCCACGCUGUAAACGGUGGGUACUAGGUGUGGGGUCCAUUCCACGGGUUUCGUGCCGUAGCUAACGCUUUAAGUACCCCGCCUGGGGAGUACGGCCGCAAGGCUAAAACUCAAAGGAAUUGACGGGGCCCCGCACAAGCGGCGGAGCAUGCGGAUUAAUUCGAUGCAACGCGUAGAACCUUACCUGGGUUUGACAUGGAUCGGGAGUGCUCAGAGAUGGGUGUGCCUCUUUUGGGGUCGGUUCACAGGUGGUGCAUGGCUGUCGUCAGCUCGUGUCGUGAGAUGUUGGGUUAAGUCCCGCAACGAGCGCAACCCUUGUUCACUGUUGCCAGCACGUUAUGGUGGGGACUCAGUGGAGACCGCCGGGGUCAACUCGGAGGAAGGUGGGGAUGACGUCAAGUCAUCAUGCCCCUUAUGUCCAGGGCUUCACGCAUGCUACAAUGGCUGGUACAGAGAGUGGCGAGCCUGUGAGGGUGAGCGAAUCUCGGAAAGCCGGUCUCAGUUCGGAUUGGGGUCUGCAACUCGACCUCAUGAAGUCGGAGCCGCUAGUAAUCGCAGAUCAGCAACGCUGCGGUGAACACGUUCCCGGGGCUUGUACACACCGCCCGUCAAGUCAUGAAAGUUGGUAACACCCGAAGCCGGUGGCCUAACCGUUGUGGGGGAGCCGUCGAAGGUGGGACUGGUGAUUAGGACUAAGUCGUAACAAGGUAGCCGUACCGGAAGG
rnacentral:rRNA from 1 species